rnacentral:rRNA from 1 species
UACGUAGGGUGCAAGCGUUGUCCGGAAUUAUUGGGCGUAAAGAGCUCGUAGGCGGUUUGUCGCGUCUGCUGUGAAAACUCGGGGCUUAACCCCGGGCCUGCAGUGGGUACGGGCAGACUAGAGUGCGGUAGGGGAGACUGGAAUUCCUGGUGUAGCGGUGAAAUGCGCAGAUAUCAGGAGGAACACCGGUGGCGAAGGCGGGUCUCUGGGCCAUUACUGACACUGAGAAGCGAAAGCAUGGGGAGCGAACAGG